GACGAACGCUGGCGGCGUGCUUAACACAUGCAAGUCGAACGGAAAGGCCCUGCUUUUGUGGGGUGCUCGAGUGGCGAACGGGUGAGUAACACGUGAGUAACCUGCCCUUGACUUUGGGAUAACUUCAGGAAACGGGGGCUAAUACCGGAUAGGAGCUCCUGCUGCAUGGUGGGGGUUGGAAAGUUUCGGCGGUUGGGGAUGGACGCGCGGCUUAUCAGCUUGUUGGUGGGGUAGUGGCUUACCAAGGCUUGGACGGGUAGGCGGCCUGAGAGGGUGACCGGCCACAUUGGGACUAAGAUACGGCCCAGACUGCAACGGGGGGCAGCAGUGGGGAAUAUUGCACAAUGGGCGGAAGCCUGAUGCAGCAACGCCGCGUGCGGGAUGCCGGCCUUCGGGUUGUAAACCGCUUUCGCCUGUGACGAAGCGUGAGUGACGGUAAUGGGUAAAGAAGCACCGGCUAACUACGCG
rnacentral:rRNA from 1 species